ACGAACGCUGGCGGCGUGCUUCACCCAUGCCAGUCGCGCGGAAAGGCCCUUCGGGGUCCUCGAGCGGCGAACGGGUGAGUAACACGUGAGUAACCUGCCCCAGACUUUGGGAUAACCCUCGGAAACGGGGGCUAAUACCGGAUACGACACAGCUUCGCAUGGGGUCUGUGUGGAAAGUUUUUCGGUUUGGGAUGGGCUCGCGGCCUAUCAGCUUGUUGGUGGGGUGAUGGCCUACCAAGGCGACGACGGGUAGCCGGCCUGAGAGGGCGACCGGCCACACUGGGACUGAGACACGGCCCAGACUCCUACGGGAGGCAGCAGUGGGGAAUAUUGCACAAUGGGCGGAAGCCUGAUGCAGCGACGCCGCGUGAGGGAUGACGGCCUUCGGGUUGUAAACCUCUUUCAGCAGGGACGAAGCGUAAGUGACGGUACCUGCAGAAGAAGCGCCGGCCAACUACGUG
rnacentral:rRNA from 1 species